UCGAGAAUCAUUCACAAUGGGCGAAAGCCUGAUGGUGUGACGCCGCGUGGAGGAUGAAGGUCUUCGGAUUGUAAACUCCUGUCAUGUGAGAGUAAAGCCGGGCGUUAACUGCGUGCCGGUUUGAGAGUAUCACAAGAGGAAGAGACGGCUAACUCUGUGCCAGCAGCCGCGGUAAUACAGAGGUCUCAAGCGUUGUUCGGAAUCACUGGGCGUAAAGGGUGCGUAGGCUGCACGGUAAGUCAGAGGUGAAAUCCCGGAGCUCAACUUCGGAAUUGCCUCCGAUACUGCCGUGCUUGAGGACUGGAGAGGAGUCUGGAAUUCACAGUGGAGCAGUGAAAUGCGUAGAUAUUGUGAGGAACACUAGUGGCGAAGGCGAGACUCUGGACAGUUCCUGACGCUGAGGCACGAAGGCCAGGGGAGCAAACGGG
rnacentral:rRNA from 2 species